CGUCCCUUAUAAUUAUGUUUUUCUUCCUUUAUUUGGAGUGACAAUUAACCAUGUUCUCUUUAUUUUACCUCUAUAUAAAGAGAAGCAGCAAAGUUAAUGUUUUUUCACUACUUCACACUUUUUGUUGCAUCCUAUUUCUCUCCCCUUUGUUUUUUUCUCUCUCACACCCCCUCUCUCUUAUUUUCACCAAAAACACAAAACCCUAGUUGUCCAAAAUCUUUCCCAACAUCUUCCUCCCUCCCUGGCC
rnacentral:lncRNA from 1 species